CAGUAGCCGCGGUAAUACGAAGGGUGUAAGCGUUACUCGGAAUUACUGGGCGUAAAGCGUGCGUAGGUGGUGGUUUAAGUCCGUUGUGAAAGCCCUGGGCUCAACCUGGGAAUUGCAGUGGAUACUGGGUCACUAGAGUGUGGUAGAGGAUAGUGGAAUUUCCGGUGUAGCAGUGAAAUGCGUAGAGAUCGGAAGGAACAUCUGUGGCGAAGGCGACUAUCUGGGCCAACACUGACACUGAGGCACGAAAGCGUGGGGAGCAAACAGGAUUAGAUACCCCUGUAGUCCCUGUCUCUUAUAA
rnacentral:rRNA from 1 species